UGUUUGGGCGGUAGUGUGGGAAGCCUUCGGGCUUGCUGUUUCCUUGAUACAGUCUGUCAACCUGCACUACCGCCC
rnacentral:antisense_RNA from 1 species